rnacentral:rRNA from 1 species
GGUUUAGGGAUUUUAGAUUUGGAUAUCAUGAAUAUCGCGUUGUUGUCUAAAUGGUUGUGGAAACUUUUUAAUGAGGAAAUCUUAUGGCAAAAAUUGCUAUGGAAUAAGUACAUAGGGAAUUCCACCUUUGGACAGGUUGGUAAAAAGCAAGGUGAUUCACAUUUUUGGAAGGGGCUGCUGAAAUGCAAAACCUUGUUCCUAAAUUGUUGCAGAUUUAAAGUAGGGGAUGGGAGGAAAACUAGAUUUUGUGAAGACAUAUGGAUUGGGAAACAUAAUUUAUCUGAUACUUUCCCUAGUCUAUAUAAUGUCUCUCUCAAUCAACACAUUACUGUAUAUGAAGUUAUUUCUUCCAACUUGGCUACUCUUCAAUUCAGAAGGGUGCUGGUGGGGGAAAUAGCAACCCAAUGGCAAGAUCUGGUAGAAAUGUGUAGGCUAGUCAAGUUAAACGAGGAGAAGGAUAAGUUACACUGGAUACCUGAUAAAUCUGGGAUAUUUAGUGUGAAAUCCUUCUACUCUGUUGUACAAGUAGGGGAAAAAUAGCCCAACAGAUUCCUAUGGAAAGUUAAAAUCCCUCCGAAAAUCAAAACAUUUAUCUGGUUGGUCUUGAAAGAAAGUAUACUAACUAGAGAUGUUUUGUUACAUAGAGGAGGAAAAUGUGAAGAGAAAUGUCUUUUUGCAAUGAAAAAGAAUCAAUCAAUCAUCUAUUCUUUCGAUGCCCGCUUGCCAGAUAUAUGUGGAAUGUGGUCAGUUAUUGCACUGGGCUCCGAUGUGAUUUCAGUGAUAUGGACACAUGUAUACAUAGUUGGCUAG